ensembl:lncRNA
GUCUACUUUAUGUAACCUGUAUAGUCUACUUUAUGUAACCUGUAUAGUCUACUUUAUGUAACCUGUAUAGUCUACUUUAUGUAACCUGUAUAUUCUACUUUAUGUAACCUGUAUAGUAUACUUUAUGUAGCCUGUAUAGUCUACUUUAUGUGACCUCUAUAGUCUACUUUAUGUAACCUGUAUAGUCUACUUUAUGUAGCCUGUAUAGUCUACUUUAUGUGACCUCUAUAGUCUACUUUAUGUAGCCUGUAUAGUCUACUUUAUGUAACCUGUAUAGUCUACUUUAUGUGACCUCUAUAGUCUACUUUAUGUAACCUGUAUAGUCUACUUUAUGUAACCUGUAUAGUCUACUUUAUGUAGCCUGUAUAGUCUACUUUAUGUAACCUGUAUAGUCUACUUUAUGUGACCUCUAUAGUCUACUUUAUGUAACCUGUAUAGUCUACUUUAUGUAACCUGUAUAGUCUACUUUAUGUAACCUGUAUAGUCUACUUUAUGUAACCUCUAUAUCUACUUUAUGUAACCUGUAUAGUCUACUUUAUGUAACCUGUAUAAUCUAAUCUAUGUAACCUGUAUAGUCUACUUUAUGUAACCUGUAUAGUCUACUUUAUGUAACCUGUAUAGUCUACUUUAUGUGACCUCUAUAGUCUACUUUAUGUAACCUGUAUAGUCUACUUUAUGUAACCUGUAUAGUCUACUUUAUGUAACCUGUAUAAUCUAAUCUAUGUAACCUGUAUAGUCUACUU